CAGAAAAGGGAGUUCCCUUGCAGCCCAAAAUACCCUGCAUGCACUGCAUGAAUUUCAUGCAGUGUUUUGGACUGAAGGGAGCUCCUUGUUCUU
rnacentral:pre_miRNA from 1 species